rnacentral:rRNA from 1 species
GACAGAGGGUGCAAACGUUGUUCGGAAUUACUGGGCGUAAAGCGCGUGUAGGCGGCUGCGCAAGUCGGAUGUGAAAUCCCAUGGCUCAACCAUGGAAGUGCACCCGAAACUGCGUAGCUUGAGUCUCGGAGAGGAAGGCGGAAUGCUUGGUGUAGAGGUGAAAUUCGUAGAUAUCAAGCGGAACACCGGUGGCGAAGGCGGCCUUCUGGACGAUGACUGACGCUGUGGCGCGAAAGCUAGGGGAGCGAACGGG